CUCCCCCCUCCUAUUAUUUACAAAACAGAGACAUCUCUCGAUCCUCUCGUAGUUAUCCAUCUCAAGCUCCCUCCACUAUCCAGGUUGGUCCCAUCACAAUUAAGAAUAUCAACUACUUGUGGGCAGAAAAUUUUUCCUCAUUGGGACAGAUCAAGAAAAAGGAGGAGACGGCUAGAGCCUAUGUUAGUUAAAUUGUGUUCAAACUAUUACACAAAUCCACCUUGAGGUCUUUCAUGGUUUGCAUUUAUGUUUUUUCCACUUUUAUAUUUUAUUUGACAAAAUCAUCCUAGAUGCUAUUAAUAUAAUUUCACAUUCAAGGAUAACUUUGGCUUAUUAUUUUUAGCUUCUCUUAUUUUUAUAUAUUUAUUCAUUUUAUUAUAUUAACAUGCUUUGCAAGUGGAUGUCUGCAUGCAUGGGAUUUCUUAUAUUAAAGUUAUUUGUGUUCCUCAAGAUUUUUUAUACUUGUUCUUAAACAACCAUCUCUGCAUGCAUUUUAUCAUUGUUAACAUAUAGAUGAUAUAUUUCAUCAUUUUUAAGUCUGCAAAUACGUCAUUUGGACCAAAUCAAGUUUGGUCCAUUUAGAUCUCAUUUAUUAGACCCAUAGGUUAAGUUUGGGUCUGAAAAAGUGAUCCAUUUGAAAAAUUGGAUCCAAUUUGGAUCAAGAUUAGCCGAACCAUGCUGAAUCAGCAAGUUCGGAGUGUGUCGAACCAGACUGCUCAGUUAACGAUAUGGUUCAACAAGUCGAUUCGGUAUACAAAGGGCGAAGCCCUCCCCCACUCAAUUUUUUUCCAUUUGAAGCUCCCCUUGCUCAAUUUCGAAGUCCUAAUCCCUAAAACCCUAUGUCCCCAUCAAGUCACCAAAGACGACAACAAGAAUGACCUUGGCUAGGCAAGUCACUCUUUUUCUCUCGCUCGCUCUUGAUCCUCGUCGCCAUAUCUAGAGCUCUCGAAGCUCCCUUGUGACGACUCAAACUUCCUCUGCCCUCUCUUGAUCGAUCAACUUCACCAGCCGAUAUGAG
rnacentral:lncRNA from 1 species